rnacentral:rRNA from 1 species
AUUGAACGCUGGCGGCAUGCCUUACACAUGCAAGUCGAACGGCAGCACGGGAGCAAUCCUGGUGGCGAGUGGCGAACGGGUGAGUAAUAUAUCGGAACGUGCCCAGUCGUGGGGGAUAACGUAGCGAAAGCUACGCUAAUACCGCAUACGAUCUAUGGAUGAAAGCGGGGGAUCGCAAGACCUCGCGCGAUUGGAGCGGCCGAUAUCAGAUUAGGUAGUUGGUGAGGUAAAGGCUCACCAAGCCGACGAUCUGUAGCUGGUCUGAGAGGACGACCAGCCACACUGGGACUGAGACACGGCCCAGACUCCUACGGGAGGCAGCAGUGGGGAAUUUUGGACAAUGGGCGCAAGCCUGAUCCAGCAAUGCGCGUGCAGGAUGAAGGCCUUCGGUGUAACUGCUUUGUACGGUAACGAAACGGUGAG